AGAGUUUGAUCCUGGCUCAGAAUGAACGUUGGCGGCGUGGAUUAGGCAUGCGAGUCGCGCGAUAAUGUAGCAAUACAGGACAGCGGCGAAAGGGAGAGGACAACAUAGGAAUCUGCCCUGGGGUCGGGGAUAGCGUCGGGAAACUGACGGUAAUACCCGAUAAUAUCCAAGGAUCAAAGGAGCAAUUUGCCCCGGGAUGAGCCUAUGCCCCAUUAGCUAGUUGGCGGUGUAAUGGACCACCAAGGCUGUGAUGGGUAGCUGGUGUGAGAGCACGACCAGCCUCACUGGCACUGAGACACUGGCCAGACACCUACGGGUGGCUGCAGUCGAGAAUCUUCGGCAAUGGACGAAAGUCUGACCGAGCGACGCCGCGUGUGGGAUGAAGGUCUUCGGAUUGUAAACCACUGCCGAGGGGGAUUAAGGGAAACUUGAAAGAACCCUGGAGGAAGGGGAGGCUAAGCUCGUGCCAGCAGCCGCGGUAAGACGAGCUCCCCAAACGUUAUUCGGUAUUACUGGGCUUAAAGAGUUCGUAGGCGGCGAAGUAGGUGAGGUGUGAAAGCCCUCGG
rnacentral:rRNA from 1 species